UAAAAAAACAUUUAUGCAUUUAGCUAAUGUCACAUGGUGAGCAUGAAACAGCAAAGUAAAUGAUGUACGGCAUUUCUGAAUGUGGCUGCAGUCAUAUAAUGGAAGUUCAUAAAAUAAACAGAUAAAGUGUAUGGAAAAUGAAAUUCCAGACACGUCACAUGGAUGUCUCUUUAGACUACUGUGUUCACCCAUAAUUGGAUACCGGAAUGAGAUUUGUCACUGUCAAGGAGAUUAGUGUCAUCGGCAAACAAUUUGGAAACUAGCGGGCAACAUUGGGUUAUGUAAUUAAUGAAAACUUAAAAUAGUAACGGGCCCAAACAGCUGUCCUGAGGAACUCCGUGUGUCACUGUGUUCGCCCAUAAUUGGAGACUGGAAUGAGAUUUGUCACUGUCAAGGAGAUUAGUGUCAUCGGCAAACAAUUUGGAAAACACCGAAGAACAUUAGGUAAUGUCAUCAAUGAAAACUGAAAAAAAAAAUAGUAACGGGCCCAAACAGCUGCCCUGAGGAACUUCGUGUGUCACUGCCACUGAUUUAAAGAGUGGGAUUUCCCUAGCAACUUUGAGAGAUGAUAGAAAGAUGCCCAAUGAGAGGAAGCAAUUAAAAAAUUCUGCCAAACAAAUUGCAAUGAGAUCAGAAACUAAUUUAAGAAGGAGUGCUGGAAUGUUAUCAGGCCCUAUUGCAUUUCUAACUUUCAGAUUUGAUAUUUCUAUUAUCCGUUCAUUUGCAGUGGACAAACUCAGGAAAAUAAGACUUAUAACUGUUCAUUUAAUCUGAAAAUUUGGGAGAGUAUUUGUUAAAAUCAGUUGCAAUCAAAUGUGGACGUAGAGGGCAUGGCGGUCGAUCAAGCCAACAAGUGACCUCACAAAUUCAUCAAAAACAAUAUCAAAGUUUUGUGCAUUCAGUUGUAUCUGGCAAACUGGUUAUUAAUGCACUGUUCCUUCUCAUGGAAGGAGUCGGUCGAAAAAGAUGACAUAUCCCUUAACAGUAUGCAGUGAUUUGAGUAAGUUGGUUUCAUGCGACUAACACAGUUCAUAAUUGGGAAGUGGCUAGAGAUAUCCGACAGUAUAACAUAAGAAUUAAGUUGUAAGUUUGUCAUGUUAGUAUAUAUAUGGUCAAUAAGAGUUGCCGAUGUAUCACUAACUCUCGUAGGCUUGUUUAUUAAGGAAACAGCAUUGUGGAUUUAGGCAUAUUGACAUAAUUUUCAGUUUGGAUAUUACUUGACCUUAAAAGUAAAUUUAUAUUAAAAUCUCCUAGUAUCAAAAAUGUUUAUUUGCAAAUUUAGACAGAGUUGAUUCGAAUAUGUCAGUAAAGUAUGGGGGGUUGCUUGAAAAAAUUUCACAAGUGUAAAAAACGGUCACAAGCAAGAUCGCACCGGCGGCAGACAUCUAUGGCA